rnacentral:rRNA from 1 species
CCCUUAGAUGUUCUGGGCCGCACGCGCGCUACACUGAUGCAUUCAACAAGCCUAGCCUUGACCGAGAGGUCCGGGUAAUCUUUGAAACUGCAUCGUGAUGGGGCUAGAUUAUUGCAAUUAUUAAUCUUCAACGAGGAAUGCCUAGUAAGCGUGAUUCAUCAAAUCGCGUUGAUUACGUCCCUGCCCUUUGUACACACCGCCCGUCGCUCCUACCGAUUGAAUGUGUUGGUGAGGAGGUCGGAUUGGCAGCAGUUGGUGGUUCGCCACCGGCUAUUGCUGAGAAGUCCUCCAAACCGCCCCAUUUAGAGGAAGGAGAAGUCGUAACA